UGCCACUUCACCACUUAAAAUCUAAAGACUAAAAUGUAUGCCUCUGUUAUCGGAGCGGGCUCCCAACUUCAAAACUUAAACUUAAAAACUAAAAUGUAUACCUCUAUUAUCGGGGCGGGCUCCCCACUUCAAAACUUAAAUUUAAAAACUAAAAUGUAUGCCUCUGUUAUCGGGGUGGGCUCCCCAUUUCAAAACAUAAAAUUUAAAGACUAAAAAUGCAUGCCUCUGUUAUCGGGGCGGGCUACCCAUUCCAAAAAA
rnacentral:lncRNA from 1 species